GUUUUAAUAAUUUAAAAUAAAAUAUUGAUUUUGUAAAUCAAAAAUGAAAUAAAAUCUUAAAACU
rnacentral:tRNA from 1 species